UGCUUGCCUCACUUCAGUUUCCCCAGCGCCAGUGUGUGUCAGACUUCAGUUUAUGCAGAUGUGCUGCUGCUGAAGGCAGUCACCCGGUGGAGGAACUUGUUUUUUGACAGGCAUACUACAGAUGCUGUGCUGCGAACGGACACUGCAGUCACCUGUGGGAGGGGUCAAUCAAAUCGGAUCUCAAAAACAGAUGUCGCGAAUCUGAUCUGAUCUACCUACCUCUAUGUGGCAAUAGAGUACCUGCUUUUACUGGCCAGGGGACCAAGAUGAAAACAAGAGGCCUGUACCCAGACAUCCAAGCACCCAUCAAGUCACCCAGUCCUCCACCACCUGCCGUGCAGCUAUACUCAUCCAUCAAAUCCAGCCACUUGCCCACCCUAACCAGUCACAGCAUUUGGAGGCAAUAAAGUAUAAUGAAAUGUAUUUAAUUGUCUUGGUUUUUUUUCUAGAUGCAUAAAUAUUCCAGUUUCAUUGUUGAAAAUCACGCAUUUAUUAAAUGUGCGAUUUUCAACAAUAAAACAGGAAUAUUU